AGGGAGCAUGAGAAACGGCUACCACAUCCAAGGAAG
rnacentral:rRNA from 1 species